rnacentral:sRNA from 1 species
AUAAAUGCGCUCGUAAUAAACGGAUCGGACCCGGGGGCGGUACCCGGCGACUCCACCAAACAUGCUUCAUUUGAGCAUCAUGGGGUCGAAACAGGAUCGACGGACGUCUAAAGGGGUUAGCUUUGUCUCGGCUGUCUGCCACCGUUAUCGGCGAAAACUGUACAAUUGCAAAUGACAAUCGUGCUCCGGUAGCCUUGGCUGCGUAAGCAGUUCGGAA